UGGGGAAUAUUGCACAAUGGGCGGAAGCCUGAUGCAGCGACGCCGCGUGGGGGAUGAAGGCCUUCGGGUUGUAAACUCCUUUCGACAGGGACGAAGCUUUUGUGACGGUACCUGUAUAAGAAGCACCGGCUAACUACGUGCCAGCAGCCGCAGUAAUACGUAGGGUGCGAGCGUUGUCCGGAAUUACUGGGCGUAAAGAGCUCGUAGGUGGUUUGUCGCGUCGUCUGUGAAAUUCCGGGGCUUAACUCCGGGCGUGCAGGCGAUACGGGCUGACUUGAGUGCUGUAGGGGAGACUGGAAUUCCUGGUGUAGCGGUGAAAUGCGCAGAUAUCAGGAGGAACACCGAUGGCGAAGGCAGGUCUCUGGGCAGUAACUGACGCUGAGGAGCGAAAGCAUGGGUAGCGAACAGGAUUAGAUACCCCUGGUAGUCCAUGCCGUAAACGGUGGGCGCUAGGUGUAGGGGGCUUCCACGUCUUCUGUGCCGUAGCUAACGCAUUAAGCGCCCCGCCUGGGGAGUACGGCCGCAAGCUA
rnacentral:rRNA from 1 species